rnacentral:rRNA from 1 species
GUAGGGGCUAGCGUUGUCCGGAUUUAUUGGGCGUAAAGCGCGUGUAGGCGGCCGGCUAGGUCUGGUGUGAAAACUCGAGGCUCAACCUCGAGAUGUCGCCGGAAACCAGUCGGCUAGAGUCCGGAAGAGGAGAGUGGAAUUCCUGGUGUAGCGGUGAAAUGCGCAGAUAUCAGGAAGAACACCUAUGGCGAAAGCAGCUCUCUGGGACGGUACUGACGCUGAGACGCGAAAGCGUGGGGAGCGAACAGGAUUAGAUACCCUGGUAGUCCACGCCGUAAACGAUGGGCGCUAGGCGUGGGCGGUGUCGACUCCGUCCGUGCCGAAGCUAACGCAUUAAGCGCCCCGCCUGGGGAGUACGGCCGCAAGGCUA